rnacentral:lncRNA from 1 species
CUACAUUCAUUAAACGUGUAUACGUUUAAGUUGUGGCAACCUCACGUGCCUGUCGUUAAACGACGAAAACAUUUUAGCAUACCUGGUCUUCGAUUUAAAACCAUACCAAUAUAACUAGGUAAACAUAAAUCAUGCUUGGCAGAAUCAUAAUAUAAGUCUAGCCGAAAGAGUUGGCUUUAGAAUUCAUCAUUCAAGACUUCAUCUGAAAGAAUACAUGAAUUACAAAAACUUGUCCAGACUGAACUGGAACAAGGGUUAGAAUACUUGCCUUCAGCGUCUGCUUACUGAUUAACACACGUACACUUUAAGUCUCUACGUUUCUACAAUACAUGAUCAUAUAACGUACCACAUUAGGUCAUAUAUAAUCAAGUAUGUAUACUAAUAUAUCUUACCCUUCAUCUCAAUCUAAAUCCUGACUUAGAUCUAUUAUUAUGGUUUCCG